rnacentral:rRNA from 1 species
UACAGAGACUGCAACGUUAUUCGGAUUCACUGGGCGUAAAGGGUGCGCAGGCGGCCGGGUGUGUCAGAUGUGAAAUCCCGAGGCUUAACCUCGGAACUGCGUCUGAAACUACUCGGCUAGAGUAUUGGAGAGGGUAACGGAAUUCACGGUGUAGCAGUGAAAUGCGUAGAUAUCGUGAGGAACACCAGAGGCGAAGGCGGUUACCUGGACAAUUACUGACGCUCAGGCACGAAAGCAUGGGGAGCAAAAGGG